rnacentral:lncRNA from 1 species
AGUCACUCCUUCAGCAGCCGCACAAGGCACACGCCUCGGGGAAGCCGGGCACAGGCUGGGGUUGCCUCCCUCCUGCCCCUGCCCUGCCUCCUGCCCCAGCAGACAGUGAAUAAGCCACCUGGUUGGCCCAGCUUCCCGCAGUCCCACUUCUCAAGCUAGGGUACAUGUAUCUAGGAGGACAGGACUGUGUCGCUGGGAGGUAGAGUGAGACGGAUGACAGGAGCCACAGAAUCAAAACAGCACAAUCGACUCAUCAGUUCUUUAACUUGUAAGUUCAAGUCAAACAUUACUUUUUAUUUUGCUUUACUUACUUGUUUUUUGAGACAGGGUCUUCUCUGUCGCCCAGGCUGGAGUGCAGUGGCACAGUCAUGGUUCACUACAGCCUCCAACUCCUGGGCUC